AUUGAACGCUGGCGGCAGGCUUAACACAUGCAAGUCGAGCGGGGUGAUGGUGCUUGCACUAUCACUUAGCGGCGGACGGGUGAGUAAUGCUUAGGAAUCUGCCUAUUAGUGGGGGACAACACCUCGAAAGGGAUGCUAAUACCGCAUACGUCCUACGGGAGAAAGCAGGGGAUCACUUGUGACCUUGCGCUAAUAGAUGAGCCUAAGUCGGAUUAGCUAGUUGGUGGGGUAAAGGCCUACCAAGGCGACGAUCGGUAGCGGGUCUGAGAGGAUGAGCCGCCACACUGGGAUUGGGACACGGCCCGGACUCCUACGGGAGGUAGCAGUGGGGAAUAUUGGACAAUGGGGGGAACCCUUAUCCAGCCAUGCCGUGUGUGUGAAGAAGGCCUUAUGGUUGUAAAGCACUUUAAGCGAGGAGGAGGCUCUUUUGGUUAAUACCCAAGAUGAGUGGACGUUACUCGCAGAAUAAGCACCGGCUAACUCUGUGCCAGCCGCCGCCGUAA
rnacentral:rRNA from 1 species